rnacentral:rRNA from 1 species
UACGUAUGGUGCAAGCGUUAUCCGGAUUUACUGGGUGUAAAGGGAGCGCAGGCGGUGCGGCAAGUCUGAUGUGAAAGCCCGGGGCUCAACCCCGGUACUGCAUUGGAAACUGUCGUACUAGAGUGUCGGAGGGGUAAGCGGAAUUCCUAGUGUAGCGGUGAAAUGCGUAGAUAUUAGGAGGAACACCAGUGGCGAAGGCGGCUUACUGGACGAAAACUGACGCUGAGGCUCGAAAGCGUGGGGAGCAAACAGG